CCUACGGGAGGCAGCAGUGGGGAAUAUUGCGCAAUGGGCGAAAGCCUGACGCAGCCAUGCCGCGUGUGUGAAGAAGGCCUUAGGGUUGUAAAGCACUUUCAAUUGGGAAGAAAAGCUCAUCGUUAAUAGCGGUGAGCCCUGACAUUACCCUUAGAAGAAGCACCGGCUAACUCCGUGCCAGCAGCCGCGGUAAU
rnacentral:rRNA from 1 species